ACUAAAAUGGCAGAAAAGUGCAUUAGAUUUAAGCUCUAAAUAUGAGAAAUUUAACUUACUCUUUUAGUU
rnacentral:tRNA from 3 species